GAGCCACGCAGCGGAGAGAAUUUUAAAACGCUAUCGGCACGGCCGAUAUAUCGGCCACCGGAUCCGUGGAACUCACUUGAAAAUACGUCGUAACGCCCGUCAAAUAUAGGGGCGGAGAGAGAGAGAGAGAGAGAGAGAGAGAGAGAGAGAGAGAGAGAGAGAGUUAGAGAGAGAGAGAGUGUGUGUGUGUAUGUGCUUGC
rnacentral:misc_RNA from 1 species